AUGGAUGACCAUUUGGAAUUCUCAGAUUUUUUUAGGAGCUCUGUUCUAGAACUUAGUGGCAAAGGGAGAACUGGUCUUCUGUCACUUUGUCACUGUCCUGUAGUCUGCCUCCUUUCCCCUCUUAGGCUCCUUGUGGUAGCAUGUCCUCCUUGCAAGCUAUUUCUUGACCACCUCUUGGGCCUGAGGCCCCUUGGUCAUUCUGGCAUUUUAUGAUAGAGAAUACAUUGAGUUUGGCUCAUGGAAAGAAUAUGAGGUAAUUGAUCACACGUUGCCUAUAAAUUAUGAACUAUAGGUAUACAAAGCAGAGUAUUGUAAUGUAUCUAAUAUGGGGUCUCAUGUCCCAACCUUUUCAAGAGCUGUUUUUCUAUAUAAGAUUUUAGGAUAGGUUUUUUUUCUCUCUUGGUGGCUGGCUAUAGUUAAUGUGGUGAGGAACUUUAUUUUCUUUCAUUGCUUGUAUAUGUUUAAGACAAAACUGUUCCUUCACAUUGUUACCUGGUUAUUUUUUACUUUAUUUAUUUAUUUAUUUAUUUAUUUAUUUAUUUAGUUAGUUAGUUAGUUAGUUAGUUAGUUAGUUAGUUAGUUAGUUCACUCUUUCCCCGAUGUGGGGCUUGAUUGAACUCAUGACCCCG
rnacentral:lncRNA from 1 species